GAAAGUAAUUAAGAGCAAACGGCGGAUGCCUUGGCUUGCAGAGGCGAUGAAGGACGUGAUAAGCUGCGAUAAGCUACGAGGAGGUGCACAUAACCUUUGAUACGUAGAUUUCCGAAUGGGGCAACCCGGCUGGUUGAAGACCAGUCACCGAAAGGAGCAAACCCGGAGAACUGAAACAUCUAAGUACCCGGAGGAAGAGAAAAUAAUUAAUGAUUCCGAUAGUAGCGGCGAGCGAAAUCGGAAGAGCCCAAACCAAUCUUGUUUCGGCAAGGUUGGGGUUGUAGGACCACGAUGUGAGAUGUUCCACGAAUUAGAAUCAACUGGAAAGUUGAACCAUAGAGGGUGAUAGUCCCGUAUAGGUAAGUGCGAAUUAUUUCUAGUGGUAUCCUGAGUAGGGCGGGACAUGUGAAAUCCUGUCUGAAUCUGUCAGAACCAUCUGAUAAGGCUAAAUACUCCUGCAAGACCGAUAGUGAACUAGUACCGUGAGGGAAAGGUGAAAAGUACCCUGAAUAAGGGAGUGAAAUAGAUCCUGAAACCGUUUGCUUACAAGCGGUCGGAGCAUCUUUAAGGUGUGACGGCGUGCCUUUUGCAUAAUGAUCCUACGAGUUACUCGUCACUGGCAAGGUUAAGGACUUCAGGUCCGCAGCCGAAGCGAAAGCAAGUCUGAAUAGGGCGUAUAGUCAGUGGCGGUAGACGCGAAACCGAGUGAUCUACCCAUGGGCAGGUUGAAGCUCUGGUAACACAGAGUGGAGGACCGAACCGGUUGACGUUGAAAAGUCUUCGGAUGACCUGUGGGUAGGGGUGAAAGGCCAAUCAAACUCGGAAAUAGCUCGUACUCCCCGAAAUGCAUUUAGGUGCAGCGUUGAUUUAUAGUUUUAUAGAGGUAGAGCUACUGAUUGGAUGCGGGGGCUUCACCGCCUACCAAUUCCUGACAAACUCCGAAUGCUAUAAAAUGUUACUCAGCAGUGAGGGCAUGGGUGCUAAGGUCCAUGUCCGAGAGGGAAAGAACCCAGACCAUCAGCUAAGGUCCCAAAAUAUAUGUUAAGUUGAAUAAACGAGGUGAAACUGCUUAGACAGCUAGGAUGUUGGCUUGGAAGCAGCCAUUCAUUUAAAGAGUGCGUAACAGCUCACUAGUCGAGCGGUCCGGCGUGGAUAAUAAUCGGGCAUAAGUAUACUACCGAAGCAAUGGACAUGAAAAUGUGGUAGGGGAGCAUUCUAGUUGCGCCGAAGGUGAAUCGUGAGGUUUGCUGGAGCGGCUAGAAAAGAAAAUGUAGGAAUGAGUAACGAUAAAGCGGGUGAGAAACCCGCUCGCCGAAAAUCUAAGGUUUCCUCAGCUAUGCUAAUCAGCUGAGGGUUAGUCGCGACCUAAGGCGAACCCGAACGGGGUAGUCGAUGGACAACAGGUUAAUAUUCCUGUACUUGUUUAUACUGCGAUGGGGUGACGAUGUACUGAAAGCACCGCGCACUGACGGAAUAGUGCGUUGAAGACUGUAUCUAUAGGACCUGUAGGCAAAUCCGCAGGACCUGGAGAAGGUCGAUAGUACCGAGAGUCUUCGGACAAUCGGAUAGUGUGCCUAAAAACAUCCAAGAAAAACCUCUAAGCUUCAGGUAUAAACAACGCGUACCGUAAACCGACACAGGUAGAUGGGAUGAGAAUUCUAAGGCGCUCGAGUGAUUCAUGGCUAAGGAACUAGGCAAAAUAGUCCCGUAACUUCGGGAGAAGGGACGCCCCCUUAUGGGGGGCCGCAGUGAAAAGGCCCAGGCGACUGUUUAUCAAAAACACAGGACUCUGCUAAAUCGAAAGAUGAUGUAUAGGGUCUGACACCUGCCCGGUGCUGGAAGGUUAAGAGGAGAUGUUAGCUUCGGCGAAGCAUUGAAUUGAAGCCCCAGUAAACGGCGGCCGUAACUAUAACGGUCCUAAGGUAGCGAAAUUCCUUGUCGGGUAAGUUCCGACCUGCACGAAUGGUGUAACGAUCUGGGCACUGUCUCAGCCAUGAGCUCGGUGAAAUUGUAGUAUCGGUGAAGAUGCCGAUUACCCGCAGCGGGACGAAAAGACCCCGUGAACCUUCACUACAACUUUGUAUUGACAUUGGACAAGAGAUGUGUAGGAUAGGUGGGAGACUUUGAAGCGUUGUCGCUAGGCAGCGUGGAGUCAACCUUGAAAUACCACCCUUCGCUUGUUUGAUGCCUAACCCCGCAAGGGGGACAGUGCAUGGUGGGUAGUUUGACUGGGGUGGUCGCCUCCAAAAGAGUAACGGAGGCUUUCAA
rnacentral:rRNA from 1 species